rnacentral:rRNA from 1 species
GAUGAACGCUGCCGGCGUGCCUAAUACAUGCAAGUCGAGCGAACAGAUGAGGAGCUUGCUCCUCUGACGUUAGCGGCGGACGGGUGAGUAACACGUGGAUAACCUACCUAUAAGACUGGGAUAACUACGGGAAACCGGAGCUAAUACCGGAUAAUAUAUUGAACCGCAUGGUUCAAUAGUGAAAGACGGUUUUGCUGUCACUUAUAGAUGGAUCCGCGCCGCAUUAGCUAGUUGGUAAGGUAACGGCUUACCAAGGCAACGAUGCGUAGCCGACCUGAGAGGGUGAUCGGCCACACUGGAACUGAGACACGGUCCAGACUCCUACGGGAGGCAGCAGUAGGGAAUCUUCCGCAAUGGGCGAAAGCCUGACGGAGCAACGCCGCGUGAGUGAUGAAGGUCUUCGGAUCGUAAAACUCUGUUAUUAGGGAAGAACAAAUGUGUAAGUAACUAUGCACGUCUUGACGGUACCUAAUCAGAAAGCCACGGCUAACUACGUG